UCUCCCAUUACGCCACAAUCUUCACCCAGUGAUUAUCAUUCCCAAAUUCAAAGCCAACUGCCGCGUUCAGCGUACAGCAACCACCUGCCGUUUGGUCAGUCGACGGCUAGUGCGACACAACAACAACCGCUCUCAACAAAAAUGUAUCACUCCAGCGCCGGCUAUCCCGAUCUUACGGGCGGCGCGGCUGGCAAUAGUAGCUACCACCACCAACAGGCUAUGAAUGCGCCAGUCUAUGUGCCUUCCAAUCGCGCACUCACCCAAAGCCAAUACAAUCAUGUUGCGGCCCAUUUUGGCACCGCCGCAGCGCAGAACGCCUGGACCACCGACAGUUUUGGCACUGCGCAUGCCCAACUGCCAGCGCAAUUCUAUUCGAUGGGCUCGUGGCGCGCAGCCUACGAUCCUACCGGCUUUCAGCGCUCAUCCCCCUACGACAAUGCAAUUGACUUUCAGUUUGGUGAAGGACGUGAAUGUGUCAAUUGUGGUGCAAUCAGCACACCGCUUUGGCGACGCGACGGCACCGGCCAUUAUUUGUGCAACGCUUGCGGCCUCUAUCACAAGAUGAACGGCAUGAAUCGGCCGCUAAUCAAACCGAGCAAGCGACUGAUUUUAUCCUUGCAGACGGCCACAAGACGGCUGGGACUGUGCUGCACCAAUUGCGGUACGCGCACCACAACGCUUUGGCGGCGCAACAAUGAGGGUGAACCGGUGUGCAACGCCUGCGGACUCUACUUCAAGUUGCAUGGGGUCAAUCGGCCUUUAGCGAUGCGCAAGGAUGGCAUACAGACGCGCAAACGUAAGCCGAAAAAGUCCAACAGCUCGGCGGAUGUAUCAAAGGAUGGCAAAGAUGAUGACUCGAAGUCCUCACUCGCUUUGGAACGCCACAGCCUGCCUUCGUCUGUUGCGCUCACCGCCAAGCUGCAGUCCGAUUUGAGCCUGAAAGCCAACAGCAGUCUUAACAACUCACUUGCGGCCAUGAGCAGCGCUGUCGGUGGCAGCGGUAGUAUUAACAACAACAACUCCUUGCACAAUCUCAGCUUAAGCGCUCUCAGCGCCUCGCCAUCUUCCAGUAGCUCAUUGCACAACACACUCAGCCAUCACAUGCAUUUGUCGUCCGCAGCCGCGCAGCAGUCCCGUCAUUCCACCAUCUCGCAUACGCAUUCACACGCGCACGCGCAUGCCCACUCCUCCGCCGGUAGCACACCCACCGUGCACUCAGCCUCCACUGCCUCGUCGCUCAACUCAAACCUAUAUUCGCCGCAAAGCAAUGCAAGCAGCGCACAACUCUCCGCCUCCAGCUUCGGUUCGCACAGCAUCUCAAAGUACGAACACCUACUUGCGUCCGCUGGCAGCGGCGGCGGUGGCGGAGGUGGUGGUGGUGGUGGUAGCAUUGGCAAUCUCAACAACUCCUCCCCCAGCGCUGUCUCCCUAUCUAAUGGUAUUUCUGCCGGCACGCCAAGUCCCAGCUAUCAUCAUUCGGCGGCAGCGGCCGCGCAUCUGCAUCAUCAUCAUCAUCAUGCCGCGGCGGCGGCUCACCAUGCUGCUUCACAACACUCCGCGGCCGCUUUGGGUCAACACAGCGGCAGCUCGCACAUCGGCAGUGGCUCUGGUGACUCAACCACUGGUGGCGUUGGUGGUUAUAGUGUAAAGUCCGAAGCAAAUGCCAGUAAUUAUGAUUAUGUGAGUAACUGCUACUUCAGCGGCUCGUUUGCGCCCUUGAGCGCCUCCUCGGCGGCAGCUGCGGCUGGCAGCAGCAUGGGCAUGGGUAUGGGUGUGAGCGUCGGUAUGGGCGUUGGAAUGCAUGGCAUGCACGGUUCGGCCAGCGAAAUGGCCAGUUAUCACCAUCAGCACAAUGUCAUCCAGGCAGCCAAGUUGAUGGCCACAUCGUAAGGGUGAGCAAGGACUGAUGACUAGAUACAUACUCCGCAGUGAAGAUUCUAAAAAAAGUUUAACAAAAAGUAUCAAAAUACAACUUAGAUAUGUACUCUGAAUAUAAUUGUACAAAAAUCAUUUAAGCAACCAAAAUCGUUUAAGUUUGUAAAAAUGUUACCGAUAUAAUCAAUGUUUGCCGCCAUGGUUUUUAAGCAUCUCAUCUCGUUUUACUUAAUAAGAAAAAUAAAAUUAAUGACCUAGAAUCUCUCUAUACAUAUGUAUGUAUGUGUGUAUUUAACUUGAAAUAAGUCUGUAUUGAAAUUGUAAUUAGUGAAGGUCUAACUUAAGACCUGACUUGACUUAAAUUAAAUAAAUACGUAAUUAUAUGUAAGUGGAA
rnacentral:misc_RNA from 1 species